CUCACCUGUGUGGACUAAGUUAAGCAAACUAAAGUGGGCUAUGUUUUUUUUUAAAUUAAAGGGCACCUAACCGCCUCAUCCAGCGGCUUUAAUUAGUCCCGAUCGCCGUUAAACUUGGCACAUAGUGGGACUCCAGCACCGCCCAGUUCACCCAGCUUCUGCUGCUCCCUCUGAAGCGUGUGUGUGCUGUGACUUCUCCUUCUGUUUGGUAGUGGAAGCUUCCAUUUUGAGAGAGAAAAGGGGGUGUAUCCCCCCCCCCCCCUCACACCAGAGAGGGGAAAAGUCUGCAGAGUUUUGUGCAGGAGGAGGAGGAGGGGGGAUGGGCCCCAUUCAUGCCGAACAUUACCAUUUUGAUUGCUUUGAUGCUGUUUUUGGAUGUGGGGGGGUCGGCAGUGAAAAGAGAGACACAGAAAGCCCAGUCAGCACCGCUGCACACAGCCAGGUUUUUAAUCACCACGCUGAUUAAUUCUUCUCUUCUAGCUGCCAAACGUGACCUUUUAUUACUUUUUCCUUCUGCACGCACACAUGAACCCGAAUCCUCCUCGUCCGCAACGGAAUAAUAAACUGGAAUGUUUGGAUGUGGUUACUAGCGGCGUGGAGAGCGGGUGGAGGCCUGGAGGUCAUCUCAUGGUCACGGGCUUCAUGUGAGGUUCAGCUCUCACAUGGGUGCAUGUUGUGAAGGAGAACAAGUGGUUUCAUAACACCAGCCCACAGUUUAUCACCAGAGGAGGAGUAGAGGGAUGGAGAUUGGAGGAAUCAAUGGGGGGGGCUCAUGUUCAGUGUGGAGGUCUCUCCUUUAGCCUCCUCCUGAGAGAGAGAGAACUUCAUUUAGUAGAUGUUUCAUAGGAUUAGGUUACUGGAAAACUGUUUUUGAUUUAGUCUUUAGACGAAAAAUGCAUAUUAGUUUUAGUCAGAUUUAGUCAUUUUAAUCCUUCUUAGUUUUAGUCAACGGAAACUAGACUAAAAUGUAAUUAGUUUUAUUCUAGUUUUAGUCACAUUUAACAGCCAUAUUAAACUCUUCCCUUCUCAGGCCCAGAGACCCUGUGUUGUGUCUACAGCUGCAUAAUAGUCCAGCUUGCAGUACUUGGUUGUCCAUUAGAUGUCCCUCCUAGGACAGGUCUAUAGAUGUCCCUCCUAUAGGACAGGUCUAUAGAUGUCCCUCCUAUAGGACAGGUCUAAUAGGACAGGUCUAUAGAUGUCCCUCCUAGGACAGGUCUAUAGAUGUCCCUCCUAGGACAGGUCUAUAGAUGUCCCUCCUAUAGGACAGGUCUAUAGAUGUCCCUCCUAUAGGACAGGUCUAAUAGGACAGGUCUAUAGAUGUCCCUCCUAGGACAGGCCUAUAGAUGUCCCUCCUAUAGGACAGGCCUAUAGAUGUCCCUCCUAUAGGACAGGCCUAUAGAUGUCCCUCCUAUAGGACAGGUCUAUAGAUGUCCCUCCUAGGACAGGUCUAUAGCAGGUCGGCAAACGUUUUGACUCGCGGUCACAGUAGGUUUGUAAAAUGUGACGGAGGAAGAACAAAUGGUUGAAGUGUUUGUGUGAGCGAAUAUAAAUGACGUGUGAAACAUCAUCACAUGAAAGGAUUUGGAUUUUAACAAAUAGCAAAGCAUUUAUUUGCAAGGCAAUUUAACAAAUUGUCAAAGGUGUAACAACUUCAUGAGGACCAGGGACCUAAACGCAACACUUUGUUGUCUUUGUCUGUUUACUUGAGUGCUUUUGACACUUCAUGCUCCUUUAUUGUUUCCACUGUCCCAACUAAAGAGACCUUAACGUCCUACAAUCAAUGCAAUACAUUAUGUUCUUGGCUUCAGAACCUGCAAUAAGUUUAUUACGUUAGACGUGUUUGUGACGGAGCGUCUCAUCCAGCGAGGAAACGCUGCCUGCCGUCGCCAGAGAACAGAGCAGAAAGGUCCCACAGUCUUUAAACGCGUCUUCAUGUUUCUGUGAAGCAGCGCGGCUUCAGCCCGCUAACAGUCAGCUAACAGUCAGCUAACCAGAGACAGCUAACAGGCAGCUAACCCGAGACAGCUGAGCUAAACUAACGAAGCCACGUUCAAACUAUAAAAUAGUCGUCGCGGUCCGUAAUCGGUGCACCGCUGCACCGAUACGAGCGUUCUGGGUUGGUGGAUGACGUCAUCAUGACGCGUUAAUAACCGCCGUACUUUGUCUGUCGGUUGUCUGUCAGCUGCGUGCGAAUUUAGGGGGGAAAAGUAUUGUGACUUCGUCAACCACCAACAUGUUCGUCUCGUCUUAGUCAAGGAAAAAGGUCAUUAAGCAACAUUUUUCGUCGACGAAAUGAACGCUGGCGUGAUGGAGGCUGAAUUUGCUCGCCGCGCACUCACAGGUCUGAUUAAGAAGAACUACUUUUCUUUAAAAGAACAUUUGAUUCUUCCUGCACACGCAACAUCCUUCAAGGAGAGAAUCAAAACAUUCUACGGCAACUGGACCGGGUCCAAAAGGCUACAAUGGUACAAAUACAAAUACUUCCAAACGGUACUUGAGUUUACAUUUGAGCCAAAUUAAGUAUUUUUAACUGGAUGACGUAAUAUUAUGGAUUAUAUGAGCAUGACGGGAUCGAUGAACAUAGUAUGUAUUAUAAUACUUGUUACUCUUUUGUACUGGUAUUUAGUUUAAAUGCAGUAGUUGUACUAGUAGAUACAAGUAUAGUAGUAUUUGUAGAGAGUGCGGUUUGUGACCCCGAGACGACGAAUGUGAAACACUCUUCGGUCCAAGCAGCUGUCAUUACCACGGCAACCAGAGGUUCCAAACAAUCACCAUGGAGACGCUGUCAGAGAAAAGUCUCAUUCAAGUGGCAGGUCAACGGGAAGAAAGGGAUAUUGUCUGAGAUUAAAAUGCUCCGUUUACUUGAAUUACGUUUCGUAUGCUUUCCAAAUGAAAUGCUAUUUACUAGAAUACACGGUUAUUUUCUCUCAGAUUAAAGUAGCGAGUUUAAAGAAAACAAUCAUGGAUCAUUUGCAAUAAAAGAGCAAGAAUGAGGACAAAUUACAAAUUUAAGUUAAUUUACAAGAGAAAAGCUCAAAUAUUCUCUGAAAGUAAACUAUUUUAAAGGUAAAUUGAAAAGAUAUUUUCCAUAAAUUCAAAUCAACAUGUGUAGAUGCUUUUAUUAUGGCGGUCGAACAGGGUUGUUAGAACGUGUUGCUAGGAUACGAGGGUGAGGAAAUGUGAGGGAGUUCAUAGAGGGUGAGGCAGCGAGAGACGUCUCACAUUCACCUCCACAAGAUGCUCCACCAACACCAGAGCCUCCAGGUGGCCCCGUGAGCCCAAAACUACAGCGCUCACUUCAGCCACAGCAGUCAGAGUUCCCCUGACCAAUGGUCCUUGAACACAUCAUGCGUAAGUCAGAUUCUGUUAAAAACAUUACAGUCCAAACUUUGUGAAAGUGCAUCAUUUAUUCAUAUGAGAUCAACCGUCAUGUGACCAGAAGUCAGAGAAACUGACUGAACACAACAACUAACAACAACUAACAUGUUGGUGGUUCUUGUGCACCGACUACGGACCGCAACGACUAUUUUACGCUUCGGCGAGUUUGAACGUGGCUUCGUUAGUUUAGCUCAGCUGUCUCGGGUUAGCUGCUUGUUAGCAGGCUGAAGCCGCGCUGCUUCACAGAAACAUGAAGACACGUUUAAAGACCGUCAGACCUUUCUGCUCUGUUCUCUGGCGACGGCAGGCAGCGUUUCCUCGCUGGAUGAGACGCUCCGUCACAAACGCGUCUAACGUAAUAAAGUCAUUGCAGGUUUUGAAGCCUCACGAAUUUCAACUAUAGUUCCCGCCUGUUCAAGACUGUUAAACUGUCUCGUUCGUUCGUUACUAAGCAACAGACGCGUGUGAAAUAAUGUAUUGCAACGAUUGUAGGACGUUAAGGGGUCUCUUUUGUUGGGACGAGCAACUUCACAGUGGAAACCAUAAGGAGGGACAUCUAAUGGACAACCAAGUACUGCAAGCUAGACUAUUAGGCAGUUGUAGACACAACACAGGGGGUCCCUGGGCCUGAGAAGGGAAGAAAAGGAGUUUAAUGUGGCUGUUAUGGCGCGUUUCCACCGAGCGGUGCGGGUCGGGUCGGGUCCCUUUUAUUUGUGUCUCCACUCCCAAAAUUUGAGAAUGGUACCAACAAUCCGAACCGUACCACCUUUUGGGUUCCCUUCCGUUGGGGCACCUGGCACAGCUGUUUGGUACUAAGGGGCGGAGCUAGACUCACUGCAGAGCGUUGAUUGGUUGAAAGAGUGUCGUCAUUUGCGCUGUGUUUUUCCUUGCAGCCUUUGCUCAAACAAAGAUGGUCGUCUCCUUGUGACAAACAGCCACAUGUGGAGAAGCAGGAACAGGAUCGGCUGCACGUCCUCCGUUGUUGUUUGCGGUUAGCUUUCAGUUUCAAAAAAGUCAAACACUUUGAAUCCGUAGAUUACUGCCUUAAUGGUCUUAUUGCUGCUAUUUGAUGACGAAUGCAUACACACUAAGCCAAAUUAAGUAUAUCUAUUAUUUUUAACAAAGGUUAAAUGUUAUUUCACAAUUUUCAAACUAUGUCCCCAAUUUCUUAUGAAAUGACCUUGGUUUUCAGUCAUUGGGGGCUGAAUUCCUACCCUGGUCAUGGUAGUACAGUGUACACGGGGCUGUGUAUUUGUACCUGGUAUGGUACCUGCUGAGCCCUGCCUGGAUCUCCACGUCUCCCUUUUACUGAGUGGCCUUCUUCACGUUGUUGUUCAUGAAACUCUGUUUGCUGAGUAUCGUUGAGAAGAAUCCAUAUAACGAAGGAGAAAGCAGCCGUGGGUUUGGUCCUGUUGUUGUUGUUUGGUUCAACUGAGUGGUGACUAAACAGGAAGUCAGGGAGAAGAUGUCCUCCAGUGAUGCUGGACAGCUCCUCCCCAGAAUGCUGCGCUCUGAUUGGCCGACACCUCUGCUGAACGGCUACUCAAGGAGAAGCUAAAGUGUGCUGGCGUUCAGUGGAGGAGCCGCUGUGCGUCUCAGGCUGGAUUUGAAUUGUCCAAUUUGCUUAGCAAGCUUCCUACCUGACGCUAAGGAAAGGAGCUCCAAUACUUAAAUAGUGACGUAUCAUCGGUUCGUCCACAAUAAAUAAUGAUCAUGAUGUGGACACGCAGAUCAUGUGAGUAACCGUUAGCAUCACUCAUUUACAUUAAUAAAGCUUUUCUUUGGACCUGGUAACACAUGAAGGCAUCUGAGAUGCUUCUUUGUAGCCGCUGCAGACUGACGUCACCAACAUGCGUCUCCGUCCGUCACGACUACGCAGCUCAGUGGAAGAGGAGUCCAUUCCCUGAACACCGCGUUGUCUUUUCCUAACUCAACCGUCCCAACCACCUUCCCUUGACCCUGUGGCGUUUUCUACAGAGGUCAAGGAUUAGUGGUUACAAAUAGACGUGAGGAGGUCGCAUAUGAACCCAACCACACACUUCCUGUCCCUGUGUUGACCUCCUGAACAUCAGAACACUUCCCAGGUUUCUCUCUCAGGUCCUCCUCCUCUUUCCUGUUGCUCAUGAUGCCCCGCCCCUCUCAUUUGAUGCCCCGCCCCCCACGCAACAUCCGGGUCAAAAGUUUGGAUGUGGAAAAGAAAAAAGCUAUGAAAGUCGAACAGAUUUAAAACUGAAAAUAUAAAAUCUGCAACUGAACAAUAUAAUACAGCAAAUAAUUAAAAAAAAUGUUUCCAUGGCGAUGGAUUUAGUCUCUUGAGUGUUUGGUCACUGAGUUUUGUUCAGGCUGAGACGUACCGGUGACUCCUCAGAGCUGUGUGUGUGUGUGUGUGUGUGUGUAAGGCGCUAACAAUGGACUCAGCCAGCUCUACACACAGCAGCAGAAAGAGGUCAACAAAGAGUGCGAGCCCUCUCAGGGCCGCUCUGAUUGGUCUCCUGCUGUCCAACGCCAGCCUCUGAUUGGACGCUGACACUCAAACACGUGAAACGCUGCAGCAUUUUCUUCCUUUUUCCUCGUUGACCCGGCUUCACGUGGUCAGAACAGAACGCCGUGUCCCGUCGGAGCUUCAAGGCGCUUCAUUCAAAUGAGAGCGGUGUGUGGGAGGGGCCUCUGUUUCUGGCCCUCAUUUGCAUACUUCUUCUAGGCCAACAUCCCACAAUGCCCUGUUUUCUUUUUUUGAAUGCAUUAUUGAGGGUUCCUUAAAGAAGGAAGAGGCCUCAGACUUCAGAGAGCUCUUUGAAAAAGGUGUCAGUUGGUUUGUAGCUCCAUGUUUUUCAACCAGAGAAAACUUACAACACAAUAAUAAUAUUUCAGAGCAAUCAUUAACGUCAAACAAACCUUCUGCUCUCAUGAUUGCUACUCGUGCGAAUCUGGCGACAGUUUUUAUUGAGAAAGGGAUCGUGCUGCUUUUGGUUUAAAGGAGUAAAAAGUGUUGAUUCUGACUAGAGUCUUCGUGUUGUUUUAUGAGUAUAUUAUUAACAGAUUCCUUUCUAUGAUCCCUGGCAAUACAGAAUAUUCACAUCCAAUAAUUAUAUUGGGUCUUCAGGUGCUACCAGUUCGACUAGCAUCGCCCCGUGACCUCUGUGGAAGGUCGCGGGGGUCAUACAGGUCGUUACACCGCUGAUGGUAAAUGUCAGUGACCGUGGUGAGGGAGACAAAUAACAGACGAUGAAGGUUGAUGCUCGGAGGAAUGUUUGAUCCACUCACAUCUACAUGAAUACGUUAAAGGUCUGAAUGUGGAAAGAAUUUAAAGACGAUGAUGUUCCUCAAAGAGAAGUUAGUAACAUUUAAAGAUUCUAUUAGCAGGUCAAUCUAAAAGCAAAAACAAGAUGUUUAAUAGAAACGCCGCCAGACCGCCAACUUUCGUCUACUUCAAAGCGUCUUUGAAGGAGGCAAACUGACUUCUGAUCUCUUUUAAUACACCUUCAAGUUCUCCUAUUCCACUAAAUAUCUCCUCACAUGAUGAAGCUGAUAAACAAGGUGACGUCUUUAACUUUCAUCACAUACAACAGGGAACAGAUGUUUACACUCAACCGUGUGGUUGUUAGAAUAGUUGCAUCUAUGUCAGUCGUGUUCCUUUAUUUGAAAUCAAGCAGAUCACAUGAAGGAGGCUCCUCCUCUCCGGCGUCUCGUUAGAGAGACAAAGUACCAGGUGGUCAGACCGGGACGUCCACCUUCCCCCAAACAAUGGCUGCUUCCUGUUCCUCCUUUUAACAUGCGUGUGUAUAUUCACGUUUUGCGCCUCCGUCCUCCGGUUCCUCUCACAAGGGAAAGAAAAAAAACAGAACUCGCCCCAUGGUCUCCAUGGUAACCAACAGUGCCUCUCUUUGAAUAUUCCCACUCAGGUGCUUUAGUCCUUGAACCCAGCGCGACUGCUUCAUGCUCCGCCUUUCUGUGCGGGAGGUUUGUUUUUGAGUUUACUGGGUCCCUGAAGGGGCAUCGGGAGCGUGACGUGUGAUGGAGUUCAUGCUUCUGUUGCCAUCUGUUUCUUUAAGUUAUUGACUAAAAUCUGAAACCAUAUUUAAUGGAAGGAAUCUGCUUGAGAGAAUAAUGUUAGUGUGUCGAAGUGGUAUAAAAGUCUCCUUAGGGGGAGGAGCCAGUUCUCUGCUGAUAGUCACAUGGUCCUGGACCACUUUAAUGUUGACAAAUGAGAGGGGAGGCGACCAGCAGCUGAAGCUUCGGGGGGGGUCCUCGCAACAUGUUAAUGUCAGUGUGGAACACAAACAUUUUAACUGUUGUGAUGGCCCACGUGUCUGUGGUGCUGGUCCACGUGGUCCACGUGUCUGUGGUGAUGAUCCACGUGUCUGUUGUCCUGGUGUCUGUGGUGAUGGUCCCACGUGUCUGUGGUGCUGGUCCACGUGUCUGUUGUCCUGGUGUCUGUGGUGAUGGUCCCACGUGUCUGUGGUGCUGGUCCACGUGGUCCACGUGUCUGUGGUGCUGGUCCACGUGUCUGUUGUCCUGGUGUCUGUGGUGAUGGUCCCACGUGUCUGUGGUGCUGGUCCACGUGGUCCACGUGUCUGUGGUGCUGGUCCACGUGGUCCACGUGUCUGUGGUGCUGGUCCACGUGGUCCACGUGUCUGUGGUGACGGUCCACGUGUCUGUUGUCCUGGUGUCUGUGGUGAUGGUCCCACGUGUCUGUGGUGCUGGUCCAAGUGAAGCCUCGGACUCUGGCUCUCAAUCCUCCGUCAGAAGUGAUCACUGUGCUUAAUGAAAACUAAUGACGUUUGUUCUUCUUCGUUGGUGCUCCGUAGCAUUAAAUUCCUGGGCACAGUGUGUUCUGCCCCUCGGAGGAAUAAGAACAACAACAAACAAAAUAGAACAAUUCAUGACUGGUUUCCGUAGCAACGUGCCAAAUAUAACGAUCUGCUGGCAUGAGGGUGAACUCUCCUCAUCGACACAUGGCCAUUUUUAUUAUGGCUGGUUUCCACGGUGACCUUAGCCAAUGGGAACAAAGCAGAGCCAGCAGCUGGACGUUUAAUCUCACACAGAAACCGGUUGCAUAUAUUGGUCGUCCAUAAAGCUGUUCUUGGUUAGUAGUUAAGCCAACAUUUCCCAUGAUGCAGCUUGAUAGCGUCUCUUGGUUAGAGCCUUCCUGCUAGGUAAACUUCUCAAGAAUGGUAUUAGCUAAAUAAAGUACUUAAUGUAUUUUCACAAAAAUGAAUCAAUUGAACAGCUCGCUUACUAGUGACCUGUCAAUCAGCAUGUAGCCCUAAAACAUCCCCUCUUUAUGGUCUGUUUGACUCCAAAUAGACCAUAAUGUACUAAAUGAACAUCAUGUUGUGUUGAAGAAGACUUUAAACUAGAGACUGAGACCAUAAACUCAUGUUUACAAUGUUUACUGAGGGAAUAAAUCAAGAGAAAAGUAGAGUCAUUUCCUCAUAGACGUCUAUGGGAGCAGAGGAGUCGCCCCCUGCUGGUCACUACAGAGAAGUAGAGUCAUUUCCUCAUAGACGUCUAUGGGAGCAGAGGAGUCGCCCCCUGCUGGUCACUACAGAGAAGUAGAGUCAUUUCCUCAUAGACGUCUAUGGGAGCAGAGGAGUCGCCCCCUGCUGGUCAGGAGAGAGAAGUAGAGUCAUUUCCUCAUAGACGUCUAUGGGAGCAGAGGAGUCGCCCCCUGCUGGUCACUACGGAGGAUGCAGCUUUAACUCGUGACUUCACUUUGGUCACUUUAGUGUUUUCCCUCACAAAUAUCUUACUGAGAAGAGGGUUGUUUUGACCUCAUUCAGGCUAAAUAAUCAAAGAUCGUAGUAUUGAUCACCCAAGGCCGAUGCUGCAGAUUUUAUUACUUAGCACACAUUUUACUGUGUGUACAAUAAGUAAUCAGUUAUCAUCCAUAAUACAUCAAUAAAGCCGUAAAUGGUGUCUUGGUAGCAGAAGUCAGAGCAGCUGUUGGUGGAGAACUCGCUCAGUUUGAAAACCCACUCUGCUGGAAACAAUGUCACUUUUCUCAUUAGACGAACCGCUGUGAGCGGAGCUUCUUUUACUUAACAUGUAGCAACAGAAUCCUCACGCUGAGAGGAGCAGCGAGAGAGCUACACCUUUUAACUGAACUCCACCAUGUCGGAGCAUGUUUGGGCCUCACGCCGCCAUCAACUGCUGGCAGACAGACGCCCCCUGGGGCUCCUCCCCCUCACACCUCCUCCUGAGCCAUGUGAUUGGCUUCUCCAACCCGGCGGCUCGAGUCCUAAACUCUUUCCCUCGGACACAAAUCACACAAGAUAUCCUGUGACCUAAAGAAGCUGUACAUUCAGUGUCCUCAGAGGAUAAACCUUGCUGUGUCGUCGUAUUGUAACUUCACUAUUUCUGUAUUUAUUGAUGGUUUCUGCGACUUUUUAAACGUGACAAAUAAACAAAUAAAUAAAUAAAUACGUCGCUGGAUGUGCUGAAGAACAAACAAUAAAUCCUGAGUCGUCUGGGCUCUUAUAAAUACGGGUUCCAAAGGGUUCUACCAGAACCAUUUGCUGGUAUGGAACAUCUUUCUGUUUUUAAAGAGUGCCAUUAAGAACCUCUGUGGAGUUCUAGAUGAAACCUGGAACGAAAAAGGGUCCUGGGUAGAGCUCCUUGGGUGGGUUCUAAAUUAACCCUAACCGCAUGGAUCGUUCAAGGGUUCUCCGUAGAACCCUUAGGACGGUUCUUGUAAGCACCCUUGGAAUGGGAAAAGAUGGUUUUGGAUGGGAACCAUUACGCUGUUGGUAGAACCCUCUUGAAAUGAUUCCAGUGAGUAUUGUUCCAAACAUCCGGAGGUUCUCCUCUGCUGGUGACUGGAGGGGGAGAACGUUCAGUCGUCCCACUAAUCUCUCCUAGAUUUCCCCCGUGAGUGGAAUGAAUCCUCCUCCGGUUAUCUGACUCUUUUCUGCAGUUAAACAGGAAGUUCUGAUAAAAGACAAGAACAGCAUUUCAAAAUAAGAUGGGAGUUUUAUUCUAUGAAACGUGUCUCAGUCCUUCCGAUGUUUCAGCUUCAAUCUGAACAGUUUCCUGUUUCUCCUUUUUCAGAAUCAGACGUUGUGUAAAGGACUCAAUGAACUUCAGAACGGACAGGUGAGGAAAUAUUUCAUAUUUAAUAUGUACUACAACAUUGUAGAAAGUACCACCAUGUUUUUCUGUAGCUGGGCCGUCUUUUACUUACUUACUUUAAAAUGUACUUCCUGCUUGAUAUCUGGUGUUGAAUGAUUCACCAGUGGAAUGAUCAUUCAGUAAUAACAGUAUACAAACUUCAUGUCUCAUCACAUUGACUUUGUGUCGAGUAACUUCCUUUUACAUUAUUACAUCACAUGUCAUUUAUGACGCUUUUAUCCAAAGCAACUUACAAUAAGUUCAUUCAACCAUAAGGACUCAGAAGUUAGUUAGUGUGUUAGUGGAGGUAGAGUCUGAAGAGGUGUGUCUUUAGUCUGAAGAUGUGAAGGCUCUCUGUGGUCCUGAUGUCUUCAGAGACCUCCUUCCACCAUUUACUUCCUCUCCAUUAACUUCCUCUCAAAUUCCAGCUCAUAAUAGAAAGACUGCAGGUUAGAAGGAAGCGUUGCUUUGAUUGAUCUCGUUAGUCUAAAGUCCUUUUAUGAGCUGCUUCCUGUCGCACUCAACCACAGCAAGUGAAUGUUGUAGCGUUACCGUGGCAACACGGCGGCUUGAGACUCCGUGUCAGUACUGACCACCAGAUAUAUCCAGGAAGAUCAGCUGAUCAGUCACGUGACUUCUAAUCAAAGUGCUUUUGAUCUGGGUGCGUGAAGGUCCAGCAUGUCGCAGACUACACCGAUUAAACGGACCCGUGGUUGCUUGUUACCGGUGUCUGGACGCAGCGCGUCAUUGAGUCUGAGAGGGACUAGUUUGUGCAAAAGUCAGGGUCACUUUGUGACGACUCACCUGAGAGCAUGAAUCCGUCUGCUGUCCUUGGUAGAGACAGGAAGUGAUGUCACAACGUCCUCUGUCGCUGGGGCCAUGGCUGUGUCUCCGUCGCUAGGCUGCAUCCUUGAGGACGCAUUGGUCGAGCGCAUACGUCACUUCCGCUGCGACUCGUCUGUCCCAGGGGCGCAGUCCUCCAGGAGCCGGUUUGGAGGACACAUCUGAGCUGUCCUUUGCGUCCCAGCAUAUCCCAGCAUGCAGUGCGGGCCGACCAAGCGGAAGAGUUACUUUUAAAUGUAACGUUAAGUAAAAGAAUUCACUUGAAUAUCUACAGAUAGAAAUGUUAUAAUAUAGAACAUCACAUCUUCGUUAAUGAAGUCACGUGACGUUAACUCCGUUAUCCCCCCGUACAGCCCCUGAGCCACCCGGACCCCCCCAGGUCCAUGUACUGUUCCUCUGAACAUCAAUGUGCUACACACAUUUAUAACAAACGCACAACGAGCAGCUCACGUUACCGGCAGCUCGUCUGUACUUAUUAAAGUUAUGAACCUGAAAUAUCACUUUAAGUCAGUGACGUUACAGAAUAAAUACACAAAGAAACUGAACUUUGCUCCUUUUGUCGCGUGAUUAUGAACUAACUUUACAUUUAGUUGUGUUCUUCUCUCAGCCUGAAAUGUACUCUGCUCCGGAGGAGAAGCUUUUCUUCCUAAAUUAAAUGAAAUAAGAUUAUUUUUUUCUGUUACUUUGUCAUUUGUUUGGCUUUUAAGGCUUUUACUGUCCAGCGCAGCAGGUUGCUAGGCAACAGGAGCAGUGGAGGUAAACCUGAUGAGGCAAGCAGGAAGUCCCCCCGUAGGACAGACCGUCCCAUUCGAGAGGCCGCUUAGUUCAGCCUGUGUGGUAGUUGGAGGACCAGCCCAAGUAGACCAGAAGGCUGCUGAAGGCUGCAGGCUACAAGGAUGCUCAUGUUACCUGUCGCUUGGAGGCUCCUCCCACCUGGUUCCCCGCUGAGCCUUCAGCUGCUUUGCCUGCUUCUGUGUCACGUGACAUCACAUGGCCCCUCCCCCCCACAGAGGAGAGUUUGGGAUGUCUCCUCCCGGUCUCGGGGCAGAGAGAUGGGGGAGGGUAGUGAGGACAAAGGCCCUCCCUUUGUCCCCUCUGAUCCCCCUGGGCCCCCGCAGGAAGUUCUCCAAUGUCUUAAUCUCCUGCAGCAGAAAGAAUCAGCCAGUUAAAGAGUCAACGUGUUCUUAUUUGAUUUAUUCUGGAAACUAAACUUUAACUGCUUGUUUUUACACACUUUAUUACGUUAAGUGUAAUUUCAUAUUAACAAAGUUACUUGGUGACUUUAAGUGAAUUCUGGGGGCUUUGAAGAAACACAUUAAGAGGAAUGUGAGGGGAACGGGUGUAUUUAGCAUAGAGCAGUAUUUGUAUUGACCAAGGAAUGCGGGGGGGAUGGGUGAGUAGAUGGAGGGAUGAGUAGAUGGAGGGAUGGAUGGGUGAGUAGAUGGAGGGAUGGAUGGGUGAGUAGAUGGAGGGAUGAGUAGAUGGAGGGAUGGAUGGGUGAGUAGAUGGAGGGAUGGAUGGGUGAGUAGAUGGAGGGAUGACUGCAGGUGUUCCUGGUAACAGAACCUCUAUUGGAACAGACGCUGUGUUUCCAGGUGGUCGCUGCCUGAUCCUCCACAUCUGAGGGGGGGUCUUGGUCCCUGAUGCCCAUUGCCAGACUGUGGGCGGGGGGCCAGACUGUAGUGUGGCCCUGGUGAUGAGCUGUCCCACUGCUGGGAGGCAUUUACUGAGAUGCUGGAGCAGUUUGUGGUUCCACAAUGUUUCUGCUUCCUGUUUGUGUUGCAGAUCUAAUUUAAAUAUCGCUGACUAACAGACCUGUGGACAUUAAAGAGUUUCUUCUCUUCUUUUGUUGCUAUGAUUCAAAGACCAGUUCUAGAUAUUAUUAUUAUACGUCACGGUGGAUGCAGGAGAGCUAGUAAAAGCACCUGUUUAGGAUUCUGUCUGACUCCUCACUGUUGUGCAGCGUCACGGGUCUCUGCGAUGCUCUUAACUCAACCGCCGCUCUGCUCC
ensembl:lncRNA